rnacentral:rRNA from 1 species
UGAGGAAUAUUGGGCAAUGGACGCAAGUCUGAACCAGCCAAGUCGCGUGCAGGAUGACGGCCCUAUGGGUUGUAAACUGCUUUUAUAUGGGGAUAAAGUGGGGCACGUGUUCCCUUUUGAAGGUACCAUAUGAAUAUGGAACGGCUAAUUCCGUUCCGGCAGCCGCGGUAAUACGGAAGGUCCAGGCGUAAUCCGGAUUUAUUGGGUUUAAAGGGAGCGUAGGCUGUUUGUUAAGCGUGUUGUGAAAUGUAGGAGCUCAACUUAUAGAUUGCAGCGGGAACUGGCAGGCUUGAGUGUGCACAAGGUAGGUGGAAUUCAUGGUGUAGCGGUGAAAUGCUUAGAUAUCAUGACGAACUCCGAUUGCGAAGGCAGCCUACGGGGGCGAAACUGACGCUAAAGCUCGAAGGUGCGGGUAUCGAACAGG